rnacentral:rRNA from 1 species
UACGUAGGCAGCGAGCGUUGUUCGGAGUUACUGGGCGUAAAGGGUGUGUAGGCGGUUGUUUAAGUUUGGUGUGAAAUCUCCCGGCUCAACUGGGAGGGUGCGCCGAAUACUGAAUGACUUCGAGUGCGGGAGAGGAGAGUGGAAUUCCUGGUGUAGCGGUGAAAUGCGUAGAUAUCAGGAGGAACACCGGUGGUGUAGACGGCUCUCUGGACCGUAACUGACGCUGAGGCGCGAAAGCUAGGGGAGCAAACGGG